rnacentral:rRNA from 1 species
AGCUCCAAUAGCGUAUAUUAAAGUUGCUGCAGUUAAAAAGCUCGUAGUUGGAUUUGUGGCGCGGCCGUCCGGCGGGGGUCCUUCUAUGGUCUCGUUUGUCCUGGUUUUCGGCCGCUCCUUUCUCGGGUAGAGCGUAAUGGCUGGCAUUAGGUUGUCGGCCGCUUCGCGCCCGUCGUUUACUGUGAAAAAAUUAGAGUGCUCAAAGCAGGCUUAGGCCGUUGGAUACAUUAGCAUGGAAUAAUGAGAUAGGGCCACGGCGGUCUAUUUUGUUGGUUUGCACGUUGUGGUAAUGAUUAACAGGAACGGUUGGGGGUAUUCGUAUUCAAUUGUCAGAGGUGAAAUUCUUGGAUUUGUGGAAGACGAACUACUGCGAAAGCAUUUACCAAGGAUGUUUUCAUUA